rnacentral:lncRNA from 1 species
UUCAUAGACCACACUAUUCCUUUUGCUGUUUCUAAGUAAUUUAUUGGGGUCAGCAUUGUAACUUUAAAAAAUUUAAUAUCACUUAAUGUCCAUGAAAUUGCCAUUUAAGACUCCUUCAAUUUUUCUGACAUCUGGUAAUUUUCAGGCAAUGGAUACACUGAAAAGCAACUGUCUCAACAGCCCUACAGACAUUUAGCAAUUGAAGUUUCAGUUGCAUACAGUCUCUCUCUGGGUUAUCGUCAUUGCUUUGUCCAUCAGCCUUCUAGCAUUGGUAACUGUCAGAUCUUUAUUGCAGCCUGGGGUUCACUCUUGAGCUAAAGACUCAAAUAUGUCUGCAGCCAGGUCUUCCCUGGUUGCAGCUCCAGACAUCACCUCCGUGGAGGUCUUAUCAGCAUCUGUUUCCCACUUCCUCCACCCUAAGGAAGGACUCCAACUUUCCUAGGAUGGAGGAGUGGAAUUCCCUUUUUUUCCCUGGCGUUCAUGGGAGCCAUUGAUUAGGUUGGGACACUGUCUCCCUCCGCUUUCUAGGAGUUGGCUCUGUCUCUGGCCAAAAGUGAAGGCCACACUCCCGUGACUGCUCUGGGAAUGAGCUUGGUGUCUAAUAACCCAUGAAGGAGAGAGCACUUUGGAAGGCUCCUCUGUUCUCUCAUGGCCAUAAGGGGAAGCCAGCCUUGGGUGAAAGCAGAGGAGAUGGGAGAGCCAAGGUCCUUGAUGCCACUGUUGGGCCACUGAAAUGAAUCAAACAAAACCUGAAGUCCCUCCUCCUCCUGGACUGUUUCAUGAAUCAUCAUCACCCUUUACGGUUGGAGGAUGGUUGAGGUGGGUUUUCUGCUCCAAAGCCUGCUACUUGAACCAUCAUGCUCCCACUCCAUUGAGGUAAUGGAUUGGGAACCAAUUCAUCCUAAGUGUCUCUGCAUCUCAUUGCCACACUUAGUCUGGGCCAGCCUCUGUCUCCUGGACUUGGUGCUAGUCCCCCACAGUGUAACCAGAAUGUGCUUGCUAAGAACAGAGGGUUUCUACAUGUUGGUUCUGACUCCUUAGCAAGUUGUAAUUCACAACUAAUGUGGGUUGUGAAAUCAAUUCUGUGGGUCAUGAUCAGCAUUUUAGUUUUUAGAGAAAUAAUAGACUACAUGAAAAUAUUAGAGUGCAUGCAUGUAGUAUGCCGAACUUUUAAU